rnacentral:rRNA from 1 species
UACGUAGGGUGCAAGCGUUGUCCGGAAUUAUUGGGCGUAAAGAGCUCGUAGGCGGUUUGUCGCGUCUGCUGUGAAAUCUGGGGGCUCAACCCCCAGCCUGCAGUGGGUACGGGCAGACUAGAGUGCGGUAGGGGAGAUUGGAAUUCCUGGUGUAGCGGUGGAAUGCGCAGAUAUCAGGAGGAACACCGAUGGCGAAGGCAGAUCUCUGGGCCGUAACUGACGCUGAGGAGCGAAAGCGUGGGGGAGCGAAACAGG